rnacentral:lncRNA from 1 species
UUUUAGGUCGAACUGUAUUUCUUUUCCCAUUUAAUUUUGUACCCUUAGUUCAUGUUGACUCAAUGCUUCAAUUCUUAAGCUAGUGCAAUUGAUUCAGUCACUUUGCCAGGUUGAUGUCUAGGAGGGUAGGAUCUUAUCUAAACUAGUAAGUUGUGGCAGUUUGUGUUGAACAUAUGCCUAUAGGGAACAUCCAAACACAUCUGUUUUCUUCCACUGCUACUUUAUUCUUCAGUCUCCGGUAGUAGUGACCUGUAUAAUCAUGAAACAAGAUAAAAGGGGAAUAUAUAUAUAUUUUUAUUAUUCAGUCUCCGGUAGUAGUGACGUGUAUAAUCAUGAAACUAUAUAUAUAUAUAUAUAUAUAUAUUUCUCCAUGCCCAGUCCUAAUGUUGGAACCAAGACCCAUGCAGCAUUCCCAGUGAUCAUACCUAAAUUUCAGUUUUCUCCUUGUCACCUUUUGACGGGGUUCCCUGUGUUCCUAAUUUCACCAAGAACUGACAGUAACAUAUAAUAAUCAAUAAUUGUAAAUGGUACUUUAAUGUUUCAGUAUAGCUCAAGGAAGCUAGUUGGCCUGUGAAGUAUUGUAACUUUUUUCAAAAUUUUAGACAUUUUUAUCAGAUUUCGUAUUAUCAUAAGGGUGGUAUAAAAAAUUUGGUUGCAAUCUCGUUAUUCAAUCAGUUUAGUUUUAUCAAGUUUAUUUUUCAUGAAUAGUUGGAAAUUUGUGAUCUAAUCUAGUUCUCUUUACAGGCUUUGGAUAAUGUCGACACACACUUCAUCUGCUUCACAUGCGUAGAUGG